CAACAACUGCCUGUGAGAGGAUGAGCCAUCCAACAGACACAGAGCGGUGCACUGCCAAUAACUGUCCAGCCUGGGUAACCAGUCCUUGGGGAAAGUGUUCAGGGAGGUGUUUAGGCCCCACCAACACUGGACAGAAGAGAUCUGUCAUCUGCCAACAUGCCAAUGACUUGUUGUACACAGACUGUGCGCCCAGGGACAGGCAUGCAGCCUGAGAGGUGUCCAGUGGCGACCUGCUGCAUGGCAGACUUGCACGGUUGUCUGUGGG